UGGUGAACCAGCGGAGGGAUCAUUACCGAGUUUACAACUCCCAAACCCCAGUGAACAUACCACUUGUUGCCUCGGCGGAUCAGCCCGCUCCCGGUAAAACGGGACGGCCCGCCAGAGGACCCCUAAACUCUGUUUCUAUAUGUAACUUCUGAGUAAAACCAUAAAUAAAUCAAAACUUUCAACAACGGAUCUCUUGGUUCUGG
rnacentral:misc_RNA from 1 species